UACGUAGGGUGCGAGCGUUAAUCGGAAUUACUGGGCGUAAAGCGUGCGCAGGCGGUCCGUUGUGUCUGCGGUGAAAUCCCCGGGCUUAACCUGGGAAUGGCCGUGGAAACUGGCGGGCUUGAGUGUGGUAGGGGAGACUGGAAUUCCUGGUGUAGCGGUGGAAUGCGCAGAUAUCAGGAGGAACACCGGUGGCGAAGGCGGGUCUCUGGGCAGUAACUGACGCUGAGGAGCGAAAGCGUGGGGAGCGAACAGG
rnacentral:rRNA from 1 species